rnacentral:rRNA from 1 species
CAGUAGCCACGGUAAUACGAACCGUCCGAACGUUAUUCGGAAUUACUGGGCGUAAAGCGCACGUAGGCGGCUUUGUAAGUUAGAGGUGAAAGCCCGGAGCUCAACUCCGGAAUUGCCUUUAAGACUGCAGAGCUAGCAGGUGAGAGAGGUGAGUGGAAUUCCGAGUGUAGAGGUGAAAUUCGUAGAUAUUCGGAAGAACACCAGUGGCGAAGGCGGCUCACUGGCUCAUACUGGACGCUGAGGUGCGAAAGCGUGGGGAGCAAACAGGAUUAGAUACCCCGGUAGUCCCUGUCUCUUAUAC